UACGUAGGGUGCAAGCGUUGUCCGGAAUUAUUGGGCGUAAAGAGCUCGUAGGCGGCUUGUCGCGUAGGCUGUGAAAACCUGGGGCUCAACCCCGGGCUUGCAGCCGAUACGGGCAAGCUAGAAUUCGGUAGGGGAGACUGGAAUUCCUGGUGUAGCGGUGAAAUGCGCAGAUAUCGGGAGGAACACCGGUGGCGAAGGCGGUUCUCUGGGCCUGUACUGACGCUGAGGAGCGAAAGCGUGGGGAGCGAACAGG
rnacentral:rRNA from 1 species